GGGUGGGAAUUACCAUUAGCAGUUGAAGUGGUAGGAAAUUUUUACAUAGGAGAGUAUGGUGAUCAUAUUUGCAUUUUAGAAAAUAAUGGAUAGCAGUUUGUUAGGAGAACAAAGGACAGAGACAGGGAGACUAUUUAAAACGUUAAUAAAAAAUACCAGUGACAGAUGAUGAGGCAUCUACCUGAUGGGAAUGGAGAAGAGGAGAUGGAUUCAGAAACUACUUAGGAGAGGCAGGCAGUCCAAGGCUGAUGCCCAAAGAAGCCAUCAAGACCCGUGCUACUUCCAGCUCCUUCUGUCCUCAUAAUCAUAGAUGAUUGCUCCACAUCCAGGGUGGAAUGCAAUGGUAUGAACACAAGGCUCACUACAACCUCUACCUCCUGGGCUCAAGCGAUCCUCUCACCACAGCCUCCUGAGUAGCUAGGACUACAGGUGCACACCGACAUGCCUGGCUAAUUUUUUUCUUUUUUUGUUUUUUUUUUAAGAGAUGGGGUUUUGCCAUGUUACCCAGGUUGGUCCUGAACUUCUCAGCUCAAGCAAUCUGCCCAUCUCAACCUCCCAAAGUGCUGGGAUUACAGUGGCAUGAGCCACUGUGCCUGGGCAAUAAACUUCUAUAAAGGGCCAGAUAGGGCCAAUAGUCUCCACUGUGUGGGCCACACAAUCUCUGCUGCAACUACUCAUUUCUGCUGUUGUAGUGGGAAUGCAGCCAUAGACAAUGUUUAAAUGAGCAGGCAUGGCUAUGAUCCAAAAAAACUUUAUUUAUGGACGCUGACAUUGAACUUCAUAUCAUUUUCAUGUAUCAUGAAAUAUUCUCAUAUUCAUUUUUAAAAACCCACUUAAAAUGUAAAAAUGAUUCUUAGUUUGCGAGCUAUACAAAAAUAAGCAGCUGGUUAUAUCCGGCCAUAGUUCACCACCUCCUGCUCUGUUCAGUCUGAGCCAUCUUGUGCGGUGCUCCUGCCUCCGGAGGUCUCUUCUCCCUUACCCUAAUCUCCAAUCUGCUAUCCUGCUCUGGGCUUCCUCUCCACCUUCUACCUUCUUCCUUCCCAGAUCUUUCUUCUGUGCCCUGCUUUCAUUCAAUUGUAUAU